rnacentral:rRNA from 1 species
UACGAAGGGUGCAAGCGUUGUUCGGAAUUACUGGGCGUAAAGCGCGCGUAGGCGGGUCAGAAAGUCGAUUGUGAAAUCCCUGGGCUUAACCCGGGAACUGCAGUCGAAACUCCUGAUCUUGAAUGUCUGGGAGGAUGGCGGAAUAACCGGUGUAGUAGUGAAAUACGUAGAUAUCGGUUAGAACACCUGAGGCGAAGGCGGCUAUCUGGCGGUACAUUGACGCUAAGGCGCGAAAGCGUGGGGAGCAAACAGG